CUUGUACUCCCUCCGUCUGGAAAUAGUUAUCAUCAAAAUGGAUAAAAGGGGAUGUAUCUAGAUGUAUUUUGGUUCUAGAUACAUCUUUUUUAUCCAUUUUGAUGACAAGUAUUUCUGGACAGAGGGAGUACAUG
rfam:Triticum urartu cultivar G1812 contig902617, whole genome shotgun sequence.